rnacentral:pre_miRNA from 1 species
ACAUAACCCGAGAGGUCCGGAUCGAACGUAGGAAUAGUCAAGAAAAUGGCAAACAAACGUACCGCGUAUUGUCUCUUACAGCCUUAUAGCACAUUCUGCACUCUUGUCUCAUGGGCUGUGCACAUUGUUUUGAUACCCAUGGAGAUCAUUGUGACCUCGUUGGCCUGCGCAAGCCAUUUCACUAUCUUCUUCUCCCAGGGUGCUAUGUGAAUUAAUUUCUUGAACUCUUAGACUUUGCUUUGAUCCUGGCCUUUCUUGAAAUGG